UGGGGAAUCUUGCGCAAUGGGCGAAAGCCUGACGCAGCAACGCCGCGUGGAGGAUGAAGGCCCUUGGGUUGUAAACUCCUGUCGGCUGGGAAGAAAUCGUUCGGAGCUAAUACCUCCGGACGUUGACUGUACCAGCAAAGGAAGCCCCGGCUAACUCUGUGCCAGCAGCCGCGGUAAUACAGAGGGGGCCAGCGUUAUUCGGAAUUAUUGGGCGUAAAGGGCGCGUAGGCGGCCACGCGUGUCUUUCGUGAAAUCCCUCGGCUUAACUGAGGACGUGCGGAAGAAACUGCGAGGCUCGAGUCCGGGAGAGGGGGGUGGAAUUCCCAGUGUAGCGGUGAAAUGCGUAGAUAUUGGGAGGAACACCGGUGGCGAAGGCGGCCCCCUGGACCGGUACUGACGCUGAGGCGCGAAAGCGUGGGGAGCAAACGGG
rnacentral:rRNA from 1 species